rnacentral:rRNA from 1 species
ACAGCAGUAGCCGCGGUAAUACGUAGGGUGCAAGCGUUAAUCGGAAUUACUGGGCGUAAAGCGUGCGCAGGCGGUUAUAUAAGACAGAUGUGAAAUCCCCGGGCUCAACCUGGGAACUGCAUUUGUGACUGUAUAGCUAGAGUACGGCAGAGGGGGAUGGAAUUCCGCGUGUAGCAGUGAAAUGCGUAGAUAUGCGGAGGAACACCGAUGGCGAAGGCAAUCCCCUGGGCCUGUACUGACGCUCAUGCACGAAAGCGUGGGGAGCAAACAGGAUUAGAUACCCCGGUAGUCCCUGUCUCUUAUAA